CAUCAGGACCCUGUCCUUCUGCUGAGUGUCUCCAUCAGGAGCCCGGCACGCUGAUCAGAAAAUAUACUAUGGUUAAUAAGAAGAUGGACGUAACAGCAUGAUAAAGACCCUCUGGAAGAUUCCCUCUGCUGGGCCAAGUUCCAAAAAUGUAAAGACAGAC